rnacentral:rRNA from 1 species
UACGUAGGGUGCGAGCGUUAAUCGGAAUUACUGGGCGUAAAGCGUGCGCAGGCGGCUUUGCAAGACAGAUGUGAAAUCCCCGGGCUUAACCUGGGAACUGCAUUUGUGACUGCAAGGCUAGAGUACGGUAGAGGGGGAUGGAAUUCCGCGUGUAGCAGUGAAAUGCGUAGAUAUGCGGAGGAACACCGAUGGCGAAGGCAAUCCCCUGGACCUGUACUGACGCUCAUGCACGAAAGCGUGGGGAGCAAACGGG